rnacentral:rRNA from 1 species
GCAAGUCGAGCGAGAAAGGCCUUCGGGCUGAGUACAGCGGCGGACGGGUGAGUAACGCGUAAGAAUCUACCUAGUAGUGGGGGACAACUCGGGGAAACUCGAGCUAAUACCGCAUACGCCCUACGGGGGAAAGCGGGGGAUCUUCGGACCUCGCGCUAUCGGAUGAGCCUGCGUUGGAUUAGCUAGUUGGUGGGGUAAAGGCCUACCAAGGCGACGAUCCAUAGCUGGUCUGAGAGGAUGAUC